rnacentral:hammerhead_ribozyme from 1 species
AUCCUGCUGACGAGUCGUAAACAGGACGAAACGCACGUCCUGAAU